rnacentral:rRNA from 1 species
AGUGAACGCUGGCGGUAGGCCUAACACAUGCAAGUCGAACGGCGGCACAGUAAGAGCUUGCUCUUACGGGUGGCGAGUGGCGGACGGGUGGGGAAUACAUCGGAAUCUACUUUUUCGUGGGGGAUAACGUAGGGAAACUUACGCUAAUACCGCAUACGACCUACGGGUGAAAGCAGGGGAUCUUCGGACCUUGCGCGAUUGAAUGAGCCGAUGUCGGAUUAGCUAGUUGGCGGGGUAAAGGCCCACCAAGGCGACGAUCCGUAGCUGGUCUGAGAGGAUGAUCAGCCACACUGGAACUGAGACACGGUCCAGACUCCUACGGGAGGCAGCAGUGGGGAAUAUUGGACAAUGGGCGCAAGCCUGAUCCAGCCAUACCGCGUGGGUGAAGAAGGCCUUCGGGUUGUAAAGCCCUUUUGUUGGGAAAGAAAAGCAGCAGGUUAAUCCCCCGCUGUUCUGACGGUACCCAAAGAAUAAGCACCGGCUAACUUCGUG